rnacentral:rRNA from 1 species
UGGAUCCAGACUUUGAUCAUGGCUCAGGACGAACGCUGGCGGCGCGCCUAACACAUGCAAGUCGAACGAGAGAUGAGGAGCUUGCUCUUCAAAUCGAGUGGCGAACGGGUGAGUAACGCGUGAGGAACCUGCCUCAAAGAGGGGGACAACAGUUGGAAACGACUGCUAAUACCGCAUAAGCCCACGGCUCGGCAUCGAGCAGGGGGAAAAGGAGCAAUCCGCUUUGAGAUGGCCUCGCGUCCGAUUAGCUAGUUGGUGAGGUAACGGCCCACCAAGGCGACGAUCGGUAGCCGGACUGAGAGGUUGAACGGCCACAUUGGGACUGAGACACGGCCCAGACUCCUACGGGAGGCAGCAGUGGGGAAUAUUGCACAAUGGGGGAAACCCUGAUGCAGCGACGCCGCGUGGAGGAAGAAGGUCUUCGGAUUGUAAACUCCUGUUGUUGAGGAAGAUAAUGACGGUACUCAACAAGGAAGUGACGGCUAACUACGUGCCAGCAGCCGCGGUAAAACGUAGGUCACAAGCGUUGUCCGGAAUUACUGGGUGUAAAGGGAGCGCAGGCGGGAGAACAAGUUGGAAGUGAAAUCCAUGGGCUCAACCCAUGAACUGCUUUCAAAACUGUUUUUCUUGAGUAGUGCAGAGGUAGGCGGAAUUCCCGGUGUAGCGGUGGAAUGCGUAGAUAUCGGGAGGAACACCAGUGGCGAAGGCGGCCUACUGGGCACCAACUGACGCUGAGGCUCGAAAGUGUGGGUAGCAAACAGGAUUAGAUACCCUGGUAGUCCACACCGUAAACGAUGAUUACUAGGUGUUGGAGGAUUGACCCCUUCAGUGCCGCAGUUAACACAAUAAGUAAUCCACCUGGGGAGUACGACCGCAAGGUUGCAACUCAAAGGAAUUGACGGA